rnacentral:piRNA from 1 species
UCGUUUUAGCUACCACCGGAA